CGUAAACAAAGGGAAGCGAAGGCGUGAGCGUAAGCAAAACCUAAAAAUAAACGUCCCAGUUCGGAUUGUAGUCUGCAACCCGACUACAUGAAGCUGGAAUCGCUAGUAAUCGCGGAUCAGAAUGCCGCGGUGAAUACGUUCCCGGGUCUUGUACACACCGCCCGUCACACCAUGGGAGUCGGGAAUGCCCGAAGUCAGUGACCCAACCUUAGGGAGGGAGCUGCCGAAGGCAGGCCUGGUGACUGGGGUGAAGUCGUAACAAGGUACC
rnacentral:rRNA from 1 species